GCAGUUUUCGUUACCCGUUUGCAUCUGGGUCCUACCUGCCUGCCUGCACCCACAAACUGGUUUGCCUCUUUCUGUCAAUUAUAUUUGGCUCUCCUCAUCCAUGCUUGACCAAAAUACGUUUGUCAUUUUGACAGUUGGUGGACGGUGACAAAAUGGACGCCCGUGUCUGCAGUGUCCCCAGCACAUCUCGGAGGGGCCCUCAGGUUUUCAUAGGUCCAUGUGAGACCUGUGAGGUGGGCGUGGCUGAGUCUAUAAUGUUUACCUGUGCUGAGCCUACUGCCCUCUGCCCACCACGCUGGACCACAGAGGGGCCCCUGGGAGCCCAGUCCAGCCAAUGAGGCGGAGCAGAACCACCAGGGUCAGGACGGAGAAGCCCAGCAGCACCAGGACCCGCAGCAGGACCCCCGCUGUAGGAGCUGCAAGAGAUCACACCGACCUCCAUGA